rnacentral:lncRNA from 1 species
UUCUCUUUCUCCCUCUCAAAUUCCAUCAGAUCUAGAUUUAGAUCUGCCAUCUAGAUCUGCAUGUGCCCCUUCUCUCGAUUCAACUUAAAUCAAAGAAGAAAAAUCAUGCCAUGGAUUGAAGAGGUUCCUGCAAACUGAAGCUCACAGAUGAUCAGAUCUCUGAAUUCAAGAAGGCUUUCAGCCUCUUCGACAAGGACGGCGAUAGUCAGCUCUCUCUCUUCCGCCUUUCAUAGUGAUUUGUAGUUAAAUAAAUUAGGUUUUGCGUGAUUUGCAGUCUUAUCUUUCGGAUCAUAGCGUUUUCUUGGCCCCCGAUAGCAAAGAGUUCUACGUAUUAGUGGAUAACAGGUCAUGGUUGGAAGCUCUGUCCUCACGCCCGCACACUUAUGACAGUUAAUGGUUACCAAGACGAAGAUGGGUCACUCAUCAAAUCUGCAGUCAAUGAUCAAGAUGAAGGAUUGGGCCGAGCAACUAUGAAGGUGCAACACAAGAAGAUGGUGAAAUAAUAGCCAAGUUAUUUGGAGCAGUGGGUAAUGUUUGGAAAGCUGAGGAGAAACUGUUUGAUGUAGUCACCGGCUGGAGGUAAUGAGUGGGAGCGGUCCAACACAUAUAUGUUUGGUGAUCGAAGCUUGAUGGAGCUGUAGCUACAGGUUUACCAUGACCUCUGUUGAAGAAGCAACCAGUGAGAGUGUUUUGGUGGAAAACUUGGAGGGGUCGGUGACAUUGUCGAGGUU